UACGUAGGGGGCUAGCGUUGUCCGGAAUCAUUGGGCGUAAAGCGCGUGUAGGCGGCCCGGUAAGUCCGCUGUGAAAGUCGGGGGCUCAACCCUCGGAUGCCGGUGGAUACUGUCGGGCUCGAGUACGGAAGAGGCGAGUGGAAUUCCUGGUGUAGCGGUGAAAUGCGCAGAUAUCAGGAGGAACACCAAUUGCGAAGGCAGCUCGCUGGGACGUUACUGACGCUGAGACGCAAAAGCGUGGGGAGCAAACAGG
rnacentral:rRNA from 1 species